rnacentral:rRNA from 1 species
GACGAACGCUGGCGGCGUGCUUAACACAGGCAAGUCGAACGGUAAGGCCCUUCGGGGUACACGAGUGGCGAACGGGUGAGUAACACGUGGGUGAUCUGCCCUGCACUUCGGGAUAAGCCUGGGAAACUGGGUCUAAUACCGGAUAGGACCACUGCCUGCAUGGGUGGUGGUGGAAAGCUUUUGCGGUGUGGGAUGGGCCCGCGGCCUAUCAGCUUGUUGGUGGGGUGAUGGCCUACCAAGGCGACGACGGGUAGCCGGCCUGGGAGGGUGACCGGCCACACUGGGACUGAGAUACGGCCCAGACUCCUACGGGAGGCGGCAGUGGGGAAUAUUGCACAAUGGGCGCAAGCCUGAUGCAGCGACGCCGCGUGAGGGAUGACGGCCUUCGGGUUGUAAACCUCUUUCAGCACCGACGAAGCGCAAGUGACGGUAGGUGCAGAAGAAGGACCGGCCAACUACGUGCCAGCCGCCGCAGUAA